rnacentral:pre_miRNA from 1 species
AGUUUCCUGAAUCCGUGCAGAGGUUUCUUCAGACACCAACGUGAUCAGACUUCCAAGAUUAGUGAAGCU